UUGGCCUUCUGUCAACAGUCUGGUGGGUCCCAAUUUUGGCGGUCUGUGAUCCAAUUGCUCCCCGUUCUCCGUAUUGGGACCUCCAUUUCGGUGGGAUCGGGUGCAGUGACCCUGUUUUGGUUCGACCGAUGGGCGGGAGACUCGCCCUUCGCGGCCUGGUUUCCCGAGCUCUUCUCCAUCGCUGUCGCCCCGUCAAUCUCAGCUGAACGGGCCCUUAUUGACUUAGGGCGCCUUGCUUUCCGGAGGCCAUUUGGGCCUCCGGAAACUGCCGCUUGGGAGGAGCUUCUUGAUUGCAUCGCCCUUCAUGAGCCAGGCAUCAACGCUGGCCCGGACCAAGUGUGGUGGCGCCUUGACCCUUCGGGCCAAUUCUCCACCAAGUCCAUCUACUCGGCCAUCGCUCCCUCCUCCGCUCCGUCCCCCCUCCUGGCGGUAUGGCCCAUCCGUCUUCCUCUGAAAAUACAGAUCUUCAUGUGGCAAUGGAUCCGCGGCCGGCUCCCUUCUGGAGUGGAGGUCCACAAGAGCAAUGGUCCGGGCUCUGGUCUUUGCCCGCUCUGUGGUAUCCCCGAGGACUCGAAUCACAUUUUUUUCGCCUGUGUAUCUGCCCAGUUCAUCUAG
rnacentral:rRNA from 1 species